UUACGGUCAUAGCACGUUGAAAAACUGUUCUCGUCCGAUCAUUGAAGUCAAGCAACAUCGGGCCAGUAACGAGAUGGGUGACCUCUUCGGAAUACCAGGUGCUGUAAG